rnacentral:ncRNA from 1 species
UACUUCAAAGAUGUUACGACAUUAUAGUGUAACCAAGGCGACCAUUACAUAUAGCAAACCUCUUUUCGUAGCUCUAAAGCUACAACAUGCUGCUUGCUUAAGUUCACAUCUCUUGUCCAUGUUCACUAAAAAAGUCGCCCAAAGAUGGCUCAACACUUAGUGGAUAUCCUUCGUGAAUCCAUUAAGUCCUUUUGUCCCAUACAGCUCUUCAUUUAUUUUUCUGAAAAUUAAAAUGAAGAAGGGAAGUUAAAGAUUCAAAGGCGAUCAGAUAACACACUAAUUCUAACCACAAGCGAUGCCAACCAGCAAUUGAGUGUAGUUAAUAUUAUGACUAGUCACUUCCCGGGAAACUAAAGCGUUUGAACUCCGGGUGAAAUAUGUUUGCAAAGCUGCAAGUUAGAGUGAUUGACAGAGGGACACCAUUAGAAGUGAAGUCUUCGUUUUAAUUUGACCCAACACGGGAAAGCUUAUAAGUUCUGAAGGGUGGGCAGUGGCGCAUGGUCGUGGAGUAAUUUCUAGUCCGUGGAGUAAUUUGUCUGGUUACUUCCGAAUAUAUAAUUCCGAUAAUGAACGAGACGCAACUAUGUUAAAUAGACGCUUCCAGGAUUAUGAUUUUUACGGUUUUUAUGAGCGCAGCAAAAUGUAUGAGUAUUUGAAUGUGUUUAUAAAAGUGGGGCCGUGCCUGUUAAGGACACUAGCUUCUUUAAUAGACAAAUUGCGUGUAGCAAUAAAGAGAUUGACCAAUAAUAAGUUUGUGAGGCGCUUAGAUGCCCUGGGCUGCAGGCGCGCAACAAUGAAAGUAUCAAGUGCGUUGAACCAUUUUCAUGCUUGGGUUUGUGAACUGAUACUAUUCACAAGAACUCGGAAUUCUCAAUAAGUAUGAGUCAUUAACUCGCAUUCAUUCCUUCGCUGCUCUUCGCAUGCACCACCCGUCGCUACUAUCGAUUGAAUUACUUAGUGAGGUCUCUGGACGUAAUCGCUGUAACCAAUUUUAUGUGUUGCGGAACUUUCGCGAAGGGUUGACUGAACUUGAUUAUUUAGAGGAAGUGAAAGUCGCGACAAGUCUGCGAAGCUGCAUGAAGC